GAACACUAGCAUCCAGACUGGUGAACUUGAACAGCUUUUGUUUCUAGUCAGUGGGUCUCACAUACCACACAACUGGAUGGACCGGAUGGCUUUUAUUUUCUUAGACCGUGAUUUCCAUAUCUGAUCAACAGUGACUGCCUAAUCUCCAUGUCUGCUUUUUCAUGCCCUUCAAAUUGGAUAGAGAAAGCUGCAUUUCUCUAGGAUUUUGUUUCUCUGAUGGGAAAAACAUAUAAAACCGAGAUACUUUAUGAUGUGAACCUCAUCCAGGUGUCUGUGUCCUAAUCCCCGUGAUGCAUGAAUAUGUUAUGUGACAUGGCAAAGGAGAAACAGCAUUAUGGAUGGAAUUAAGGAUGCUAGUGAGCUGACCCUGAGAUGGGGAGACUAUCCUGGACUAGCGGGUGAGCCUAAUAUAAUCACAAGGGUCCUUAAAGGUGAAAGAGGGAGGCAGAUAAGGGAGAACAAGAGAGAUGGCAGCAUGGAAAGGACUUGGUCUGACAUCGCUGGCUAUUAAUGGGGCCACAAGCCAAAGAAUGUGAGUGAUCUCUAGAAGCUGGAAAAGACAAGGGCAUUAAUCGUGCCUACAGCCUCCAAAAGGAACCCAGUCUUGCCAGCACCUUGAUCUCAUCACCCAUUUUGGGCCUCUGGCCUCCAGAAAUGUAGGAUAAUAAAUUCUUGUUGAACCA